AUCCGUUUAACUAUGGCGGUAGGAAGUGUAUGAAAAAUUAAUCGCAUAAAAAUUUUGUAUGUAAGGUCUAAACAUGGUUUUUAGGGGUGCUUAUUAGCGGUUAGUAUUUUAUUUAGGUGCAGGCCUUAUUGAGAAUUUUUUAUAUUAAAGGGGAUAGGACACAGUGCCAGCAUCCGCGGUUAUUCUGUUAUCUUUGCUUUCUAAUGACUAGAAUUUAAUUAUUUAGAAACAAGGUUAGGUGAAAUUUUCUUGUUUUAGUUACAAAUAAUUAGAUAAAUUAAAAAUAGUAAUUAAACGACAGGGAUUAGAUACCCCAUUAUUAUAUUAUUUUAAUGUUUGUUUAGUUUGUAUAACUAAAAUAGUUUGGCAGUGAGUUAUCCCUAUUGGGGGAAUGUGUGUUAUAAAGGAUGGUCCGCCUAUAAAUUAACCUGUAUUAUGUUGGUGUAUAUCUGGUUGAAUAUUAUUGCUUAGUAGCUUGAAUUUGUGUAUUUUUAUUUAAGCCAAGUCUAUGUGCUGCUCGUACAGGGUAUUCAUGCGUUACAUUUAUAAAGUUUGAUGUUGUAAUACUGUUAUAUUUAGGACUCAAAAGUAAUAUAGAAUAAAUUUGUCUAUGUGAAACAGGUUUAACUCGGGUACACACCGCCCGUCACCCUCGAUUUUUGUUGAGGUAAGUCGUAACAUGGUAGCCCUAGAUGAAUCUGGGGCUAAUUACUAACUUAU
rnacentral:ncRNA from 1 species